UCGUUUAGACUUUUUAACCCCAACACUCUCUUCUUCUUCCUUCUUCCCCUUCUCUCUCUCUCACUCUCAAUUCUAGAGAGAGAAGUACUCUUACAAGAUUUGUCUUAUUUAUGCGAUAAGAACCACAACAAUUCCCUCUUAUCAAAAUCUAUCUCUCUCUCUCUCUCUCUCUCUCUCUCUCUCUCUCUCUCUCUCUUUCUGACACUUCAAAACUUCUUUUUCCAGAAUUACCCAGUUGGAAAAUUUUCAAUCUUUU
rnacentral:lncRNA from 1 species